rnacentral:rRNA from 1 species
CGUAGGGGGCUAGCGUUGUCCGGAAUCAUUGGGCGUAAAGCGCGUGUAGGCGGCCCGAUAAGUCCGCUGUGAAAGUCGGGGGCUCAACCCUCGGAUGCCGGUGGAUACUGUCGGGCUCGAGUACGGAAGAGGCGAGUGGAAUUCCUGGUGUAGCGGUGAAAUGCGCAGAUAUCAGGAGGAACACCUAUUGCGAAGGCAGCUCGCUGGGACGUAACUGACGCUGAGACGCGAAAGCGUGGGGAGCAAACAGGAUUAGAUACCCUGGUAGUCCACGCUGUAAACGAUGGGCACUAGGUGUGGGGGGUGUCGACUCCCUCCGUGCCGAAGCUAACGCAUUAAGUGCCCCGCCUGGGGAGUACGGCCGCAAGGCUA